UACGAAGGGUGCAAGCGUUAAUCGGAAUUACUGGGCGUAAAGCGUGCGUAGGUGGUUCGUUAAGUCUGCCGUGAAAGCCCCGGGCUCAACCUGGGAAUGGCGGUGGAUACUGGCGGACUAGAGUGCGGUAGAGGGUGGUGGAAUUCCCGGUGUAGCAGUGAAAUGCGUAGAGAUCGGGAGGAACAUCUGUGGCGAAGGCGGCCACCUGGACCAGCACUGACACUGAGGCACGAAAGCGUGGGGAGCAAACAGG
rnacentral:rRNA from 1 species